rnacentral:tRNA from 1 species
GCCUGGAUGGUUCAGCGGUUGAGCGCCUGCCUUCAGUCCAGGGCCUGAUCCUGGAGACGUGGGAUAGAGUCCCACAUUAGGCU